UGAGACUUCCGAUAAGGGUAAGGAGAUUGUACCUGAAGACCGGGAUUAGGAGUACUUCGACUCCUGAUAUAGUGAGUAACCUUAUUAUCUUCCUAAUUAUCUAAAGUAGUUUUUAUUCGUUUUUGUGAUUUUAUAGAAAAAUGAGUUUAAAUGGUAAAUCCUUAUGUUUUAUAAGUAAAAUGUGAUUAAAUGAAAUGAGUUUUAUAAAUCAUUUUGAAAUUGAAUGAUGAUUUUAGAAAUUGAGUAAUUGGAGACUGUUUGUUUGUGUUGUAAAUUUAUGGUUUGAAUUGAAUGGCUUAUGGUGAUAUUGGCAUGAAUGACUGAAGUGGAAAUUGUGUUGAAAUUGUAUGAACUGUUUGUUUUGCCUUAAUAGGCUGGGUAGUAAUAUAAUUGCCAUGUCAUGCUGUCGAAACUUUUAUUGAUUUGGUGGGAUAUUGAUUAGUCACUGCAGUGGCGGGUUUCCGUGGACCAGCCUAUUAGAGAGGGGCACGGUAAACUCGGUUAUAUUUUACCUCGGUACGAAAGGUGCGGAGGGUAUCUCCGAGGUAAAGCUUUAGAGUUCACUACACGCUAAACCACCACGUGAGGGUGAACUUAGCCAAUGCCAAGGAACGGCUAUGCUUUUAAACGUAAAAAUGUGUUUUAUGCGUAUAUGAACUUUUCUUUAAUAGCCUUGGCGGACUCGGUUGGAUGCCCCGGCCAAGGUAUCCCCGAGAAUGAGUUUCGGCACGAGCCAAACUUUUAAGAAAUUCAUAAGCCAUGUUGAUUAUUUGAGUGAAAUGAAAUUAUUUUAUUUAGUUGAAAUGAGUUUAAAACGUUAUGAAUCAUAGUACGAUGAACUAUUUUAAGUUGUCUAAAUUUACUCGACUUUAGAUAUUUUAGAUGAUGUUUGUUUACUCACUGAGUUUAUAUAAACUCACUACCCUCCUUUUCACUCAUUCCAGGAUCAGGAUAGUUCGUAAAUAGCUGAUUAUGUCGAGGGUUAUUAUUGGACUCGCCUCCUCAGAAAUUGUAGGUCCACAGCCUUCGUUACCUUUGGUCAUUCGGGGGCCCACACGUUAUUGUAAGUUAAAUUACAUACUGUAGUUAUCUGUGUUACUGUAUGUAUUGAUUUAUUUUGCUUUUACACUAUAAAAAUUAUUUACGCAGAGUUCUAUAAAUAUUGUUUUAUAAGAAAAUGGAAUAUUUCAUUUAAUAUUUUUAUUUUAUUCUAUUAGCUACAAUUUCACCCUAAAUGAAUGUUUUAGACAUAAAAAGUUGUUUUUAGUUAUGAAAUGUGUAUUUUCCCCUAUAUAUUAUAUUUUCAACAGGUUUCAAAAUUUUUGAGAAAAAUGACUAAAAUGCCCUUGUGAGACAAAAAAUAUUUUUUUAUUAUUGUUUUGAUUUGGAAAUAGCUUAUAAUCUUUUAAAAUAUGAUAUUUAGUAAUUAUUGCUCACAAGAGAGGUGCGAAAAUUGAUAUUAAGCCUUGCGAGGUUUCGAUUGGCAUUCAGGGUAAUGAAUGUCUAUCGGGACAUCGCGAUGAUUGUCACUGACUCGAGGAGAGUACCAGGUCGUGACACUACCUCUCAAAUUCCUCUUUACUAAC
rnacentral:lncRNA from 1 species